ACAUGAAGAACUUAAAAAAAUACAAAGGAACAAGCUAAUCUAAUUAUUGAAAAGUUAACGAAAUUUCUAGUCGGGUAAGGUCUGAGAUUUGUUGGUGGACGUGAAUUGGUGGAGGGUCUUUGGGCAGAAAUUCCAAGGUGCAGGUGCAGGUGAACGCUAGAGCAUUACGAGACUAUGCUGAAGUUAUCCAGAUGUGGAGAAUUCAUCCGGACUUGGGCUUGUGAUGACUUUUGAAGAAAGACUUGGAUUCUCAUUCUCCAAGUUGGGUAGGUCGUCACUACUUCGAGGACAAUGCCAUAUUUUAGCUUUGAUUAGUCUUAAAGACAAUAUGUUCAUUUCCUUUCAUUUGAGUACUAAAGAUUGUAUAGCCUCUAAGUGGCUUUUAUGGUAUUGAUGUAUGGGAUAUGACCAGUUGUCACACUCUUUUUUUAGAUGGUUAUGAUAUGAGACAUCCGGUUUUAAGACAAUAUUAUAUUCUAUAUAUGUAUAUGUCCAAUAAAAGUAGAAGACUUGCAA